AGGAUAAACGCUGGCGGCGUGCCUAACACAUGCAAGUCGAACGUCUCUUUCUUCGGGAAGAGGAGUGGCGGACGGGUGAGGAACACGUGGGAACCUGCCCUUCAGUGAGGAAUACCGGCGAGAAAUCGCCGACAAGACCGCAUAGCCCUCUCUGGUGAGAGCCAGAGAAGGAAAGCCUCGCAAGAGGCGCUGGAGGAGGGGCCUGCGUCCGAUUAGCUAGCUGGUGGAGUAACGGUUCACCAGGGCGACGAUCGGUAGCUGGUCUGAGAGGACGAUCAGCCACACUGGGAUUGAGAACGGCCCAGACUCCUACGGGGGGCAGCAGUGAGGAAUUUUCGUCAAUGGGGGCAACCCUGAACGAGCAACGCCGCGUGCAGGAAGAAGGUUUCGGAUCGUAAACUGCUUUUCGUCGGGAAGAGAACGGACGGUACCCGAGGAAUCAGCCCCGGCUAACUACGUGCCAGCAGCCGC
rnacentral:rRNA from 1 species